rnacentral:rRNA from 1 species
UACGUAGGGUGCGAGCGUUAAUCGGAAUUACUGGGCGUAAAGCGUGCGCAGGCGGUUUGUUAAGUCAGAUGUGAAAGCCCCGGGCUUAACCUGGGAAUUGCGUUUGAAACUGGCAAGCUAGAGUCUGUCAGAGGGGGGUAGAAUUCCACGUGUAGCAGUGAAAUGCGUAGAGAUGUGGAGGAAUACCGAUGGCGAAGGCAGCCCCCUGGGAUAAGACUGACGCUCAGGCACGAAAGCGUGGGGAGCAAACAGG